UCGGCCUACGGGGGGCAGCAGUGAGGAAUAUUGGUCAAUGGGCGGGAGCCUGAACCAGCCAAGUCGCGUGAGGGACGACGGUCCUAUGGGUUGUAAACCUCUUUUGUCGGAGAACAAAACCCGGGACGUGUCCCGGACUGCGUGUAUCCGAAGAAAAAGCAUCGGCUAACUCCGUGCCAGCAGCCGCGGUAAUACGGAGGAUGCGAGCGUUAUCCGGAUUUAUUGGGUUUAAAGGGUGCGUAGGCGGUCCGUUAAGUCAGCGGUAAAAUUGCGGGGCUCAACCCCGCCGAGCCGUUGCAACUGGC
rnacentral:rRNA from 1 species